GCCAUUCUGUAGUCAGAAUCUCCCGCACCACUAAGGUGUGUAGUCAUCAUCCUCUGAGCUGAAAGGCAUGAAAGCAACCCUACUCUACAUGAAAUUGUUUCUCUGACAGAAGAAGAAUAACAGCAGCAUGCAGCCUGUGAUUGACUCACAACAGAAGGAAUACAAGAAGAAAUCCAGGGUGGCAUUCAGACCAUCUAUUAAAAUGUUCACUGUGGGCUCCAGCUGUGGCGCAACUGGCUGGGGUAUCUGCACCGUACACCAGCGACCGGGGUUCGAUUCCCACCCCGUGGUCCUUUCUGAAUCCCACCCCUGCUCUCUCUCCCAUUCGCUUCCUGUCACUCUCCACUUUCACUAUCAUUAAAGGCAUGAAAAGGCCUAUAAAGUAUAUGAAAAAUAUACUUUAAAAAAAAGAAAAUGUUUACUGUAGUCACAUGCUUCUUCAUCAAUUAAAAUGUUUUUGUAAGUG